GUACUCAUCACCUCCUCCUCCCAAGAAGCCCUAUUAUUAUCACUCUCCUCCACCACCUUCACCUCCUCCACCUAAGCCAUACUACUAUCAUUCACCACCACCACCUUCACCUCCUCCACCCAAGCCAUACUACUAUCACUCACCACCACCACCUUCACCUCCUCCACCUAAACCAUACUACUAUCACUCACCACCACCACCUUCACCUCCUCCACCUAAACCAUACUACUAUCACUCACCACCACCACCUUCACCUCCUCCACCUAAACCAUACUACUAUCACUCACCACCACCACCUUCACCUCCUCCACCUAAGUCAUAUUACUAUCACUCACCACCACCACCACCCAAAAAGAAGCCAUACUACUACCAUUCUCCCCCACCACCUUCACCACCUCCUCCUAAGCCAUACUACUAUCACUCUCCCCCACCGCCUUCACCUCCUCCACCUACGCCAUACUACUAUCAUUCUCCCCCACCACCCUCACCACCUCCACCUAAGCCAUACUACUACCAUUCACCACCACCCCCACCGAAGAAGAAGCCUUACUACUACCACUCUCCACCACCACCUUCACCUCCUCCUCCAAAGAAGCCAUACUACUACCACUCCCCACCUCCUCCCAAGAAGCCCUACAAAUAUUCAUCUCCCCCACCUCCAGUGCACCCUUACCCUCAUCCUCACCCCCAUCCCCAUCCACACCCCCACCCUCACCCUCCCUACGUUUACAAAUCUCCUCCCCCACCCCCUAAGAAGCCAUACAAGUACCCAUCCCCACCACCUCCAGUCCACGUUUACCCUCACCCUCACCCGCAUCCACACCCUCACCCUCAACCUCACCCCCAUCCACAACCCCACCCUCCCUACAUUUAUCAGUCUCCUCCAC
rnacentral:lncRNA from 1 species